rnacentral:rRNA from 1 species
UACGGGGGGGGCAAGCGUUGUUCGGAAUUACUGGGCGUAAAGGGCUCGUAGGCGGCCAACUAAGUCAGACGUGAAAUCCCUCGGCUUAACCGGGGAACUGCGUCUGAUACUGGAUGGCUUGAGUUCGGGAGAGGGAUGCGGAAUUCCAGGUGUAGCGGUGAAAUUCGUAGAUAUUCGGAAGAACACCAGUGGCGAAGGCGACUUACUGGACACAUAUUGACGCUGAGGUGCGAAAGCGUGGGGAGCAAACAGG